rnacentral:rRNA from 1 species
CUAGUGAGAAUGCCGGCGUGAGUAACGAUAGAAGGUGAGAAUCCUUCUGGCCGUAAGACCAAGGUUUCCAGGGUGAAGGUCGUCUACCCUUCACCAUAAUUACUGAUGGAGCGACAAAGUCAGCUAAGAUAAACCAGUUAUUGAUUCUGGUCCAAGUACAAAGAGGGCAUUGUUGGAAAAUCCGCAAUGUAUAACCUUAAAGUAUGAUGGGUAGGGCAACCGAAUUAUCUGAACGCUUUGCUUUCAAGAAAAACUUCUAAAGAUAUAAUUAUGGUACUCGUACCAAGAACGAACACACGUGGUUGGGGAGAAAAUCCUCAGGCCAGCGAGCAAACUAUAGUUAAGGAACUCGGCAAAUUAACCCCGUAAGUUCGCGAGAAGGGGCACCUGUGAAAACACAGGUCGCAGUGAAGAGGCACGAACGACUGUUUAUCAAAAACACAGCUCUCUGCUAAGGAGCAAUCCGAUGUAUAGGGGGCGACGCCUGCCCGGUGCUGGAAGGUUAAGAGGACGAGUUAGCCGUAAGGUGAAGCUCUGAAUUGAAGCCCCAGUGAACGGCGGCCGUAACUAUAACGGUCCAAAGGUAGCGAAACUCCUUGUCAGGUAAGUUCUGACCCGCAUGAAAGACGUAAUGACUGGUGCACUGUCUCAACUAUAGGCUCGGUGAAAUCUUAGUACCGGUGAAGAUGCCGGUUACCCGCAACUAGACGGAAAGACCCCGUGGAGCUUUACUGCAACUUGAUAUUGGGUUUUUCUCUUGUUUGUACAGGAUAGGUGGGAGACUGUGAGGCUAGGACGCCAGUUCUAGCGGAGUCGUUGGUGGGAUACCACCCUAACAGGCGGAAAAUUCUAACUUAUUGGUUUACAGCCAAAAGGACAGUGUUUGGUGGGUAGUUUGACUGGGGCGGUCGCCUCCUAAAAAGUAACGGAGGUGUUCAUAAGGUAUCCUCAGUAGGUAUAGAAAUCCUAUGUAGAGCGUAAAGGUACAAGGAUGCUUAACUGUGAGACUUACAAGUCGAACAGAUACGAAAGUAGGACUUAGUGAUCCGGCGGUUACCUAGUGGUAGGGCCGUCGCUAAACGGACAAAAGUUACCCCGGGGAUAACAGGCUAAUACUUCCCAAGAGAUCACAUCGACGGAAGUGUUUGGCACCUCGAUGUCGACUCAUCGCAUC